rnacentral:rRNA from 1 species
AAAUUGAAGAGUUUGAUCAUGGCUCAGAUUGAACGCUGGCGGCAGGCCUAACACAUGCAAGUCGAACGGUAACAGGAAGAAGCUUGCUUCUUUGCUGACGAGUGGCGGACGGGUGAGUAAUGUCUGGGAAACUGCCUGAUGGAGGGGGAUAACUACUGGAAACGGUAGCUAAUACCGCAUAACGUCGCAAGACCAAAGAGGGGGACCUUCGGGCCUCUUGCCAUCGGAUGUGCCCAGAUGGGAUUAGCUAGUAGGUGGGGUAACGGCUCACCUAGGCGACGAUCCCUAGCUGGUCUGAGAGGAUGACCAGCCACACUGGAACUGAGACACGGUCCAGACUCCUACGGGAGGCAGCAGUGGGGAAUAUUG